rnacentral:rRNA from 1 species
AGGGCACCACCAGGAGUGGAGCCUGCGGCUUAAUUUGACUCAACACGGGAAAACUCACCCGGCCCGGACACUGGGAGGAUUGACAGAUUGAGAGCUCUUUCUUGAUUCAGUGGGUGGUGGUGCAUGGCCGUUCUUAGUUGGUGGAGUGAUUUGUCUGGUUAAUUCCGAUAACGAACGAGACUCUAGCCUACUAAAUAGAUCGUCGGCUUACAAACGCCGGCGAGACUUCUUAGAGGGACAGGCGGUGAUUCAACCGCACGAAACAGAGCAAUAACAGGUCUGUGAUGCCCUUAGAUGUCCGGGGCCGCACGCGCGCUACACUGAAGUGAUCAGCGUGCUUUUUCAACCUACUCUGUCAAGAGUGGGGAACCCAAUGAACCUUCUUCGUGAUUGGGAUAGGGGAUUGUAAUUGUUCCCCUUGAACGAGGAAUUCCCAGUAAGCGCGAGUCAUAAGCUCGCGUUGAUUACGUCCCUGCCCUUUGUACACACCGCCCGUCGCUACUACCGAUUGAAUGUUUU